AUAUCUCUCCGUACGGGAAGGAUGAGAAGCUUCAAUUAAGGUUCGAUUCGAGCGCAGCGAGAAAGCGUUGCCGCAGGCAACGACCCGAAGGGCGAAGCGCGCAGCGCUGAGUCAUCCUUCCCCCACCACCA
rnacentral:sRNA from 3 species